GGCUAAAUUCUGGUGGAUAGUGGCGACGGGUGAGUAACACGUGGGCAAUCUGCCCUUCACUCUGGGACAAGCCCUGGAAACGGGGUCUAAUACCGGAUAACACUCUGUCCCGCAUGGGACGGGGUUAAAAGCUCCGGCGGUGAAGGAUGAGCCCGCGGCCUAUCAGCUUGUUGGUGGGGUAAUGGCCUACCAAGGCGACGACGGGUAGCCGGCCUGAGAGGGCGACCGGCCACACUGGGACUGAGACACGGCCCAGACUCCUACGGGAGGCAGCAGUGGGGAAUAUUGCACAAUGGGCGAAAGCCUGAUGCAGCGACGCCGCGUGAGGGAUGACGGCCUUCGGGUUGUAAACCUCUUUCAGCAGGGAAGAAGCGAAAGUGACGGUACCUGCAGAAGAAGCGCCGGCUAACUACGUGCCAGCAGCCGCGGUAAUACGUAGGGCGCAAGCGUUGUCCGGAAUUAUUGGGCGUAAAGAGCUCGUAGGCGGCUUGUCACGUCGGAUGUGAAAGCCCGGGGCUUAACCCCGGGUCUGCAUUCGAUACGGGCUAGCUAGAGUGUGGUAGGGGAGAUCGGAAUUCCUGGUGUAGCGGUGAAAUGCGCAGAUAUCAGGAGGAACACCGGUGGCGAAGGCGGAUCUCUGGGCCAUUACUGACGCUGAGGAGCGAAAGCGUGGGGAGCGAACAGGAUUAGAUACCCUGGUAGUCCACGCCGUAAACGUUGGGAACUAGGUGUUGGCGACAUUCCACGUCGUCGGUGCCGCAGCUAACGCAUUAAGUUCCCCGCCUGGGGAGUACGCGCAGGCUAAACUCAAGGAAUUGACGGGGGCCCGCACAAGCAGCGGGAGCAUGGUGGCUUAAUUUCGACGGCAACCGCGGAAGAAA
rnacentral:rRNA from 1 species